rnacentral:rRNA from 1 species
GACGAACGCUGGCGGCGUGCCUAACACAUGCAAGUCGAACGGAAAGGCCCUGCUUUUGUGGGGUGCUCGAGUGGCGAACGGGUGAGUAACACGUGAGUAACCUGCCCUUGACUUUGGGAUAACUUCAGGAAACUGGGGCUAAUACCGGAUAGGAGCUCCUGCUGCAUGGUGGGGGUUGGAAAGUUUCGGCGGUUGGGGAUGGACUCGCGGCUUAUCAGCUUGUUGGUGGGGUAGUGGCUUACCAAGGCUUUGACGGGUAGCCGGCCUGAGAGGGUGACCGGCCACAUUGGGACUGAGAUACGGCCCAGACUCCUACGGGAGGCAGCAGUGGGGAAUAUUGCACAAUGGGCGGAAGCCUGAUGCAGCAACGCCGCGUGCGGGAUGACGGCCUUCGGGUUGUAAACCGCUUUCGCCUGUGACGAAGCGUGAGUGACGGUAAUGGGUAAAGAAGCACCGGCUAACUACGUGCCAGCAGCCGCGGUGAUACGUAGGGUGCGAGCGUUGUCCGGAUUUAUUGGGCGUAAAGGGCUCGUAGGUGGUUGAUCGCGUCGGAAGUGUAAUCUUGGGGCUUAACCCUGAGCGUGCUUUCGAUACGGGUUGACUUGAGGAAGGUAGGGGAGAAUGGAAUUCCUGGUGGAGCGGUGGAAUGCGCAGAUAUCAGGAGGAACACCAGUGGCGAAGGCGGUUCUCUGGGCCUUUCCUGACGCUGAGGAGCGAAAGCGUGGGGAGCGAACAGGCUUAGAUACCCUGGUAGUCCACGCUGUAAACGGUGGGUACUAGGUGUGGGGUCCAUUCCACGGGUUCCGUGCCGUAGCUAACGCUUUAAGUACCCCGCCUGGGGAGUACGGCCGCAAGGCUAAAACUCAAAGGAAUUGACGGGGCCCCGCACAAGCGGCGGAGCAUGCGGAUUAAUUCGAUGCAACGCGUAGAACCUUACCUGGGUUUGACAUGGAUCGGGAGCGCUCAGAGAUGGGUGUGCCUCUUUUGGGGUCGGUUCACAGGUGGUGCAUGGCUGUCGUCAGCUCGUGUCGUGAGAUGUUGGGUUAAGUCCCGCAACGAGCGCAACCCUUGUUCACUGUUGCCAGCACGUUAUGGUGGGGACUCAGUGGAGACCGCCGGGGUCAACUCGGAGGAAGGUGGGGAUGACGUCAAGUCAUCAUGCCCCUUAUGUCCAGGGCUUCACGCAUGCUACAAUGGCUGGUACAGGGAGUGGCGAGCCUGUGAGGGUGAGCGAAUCUCGGAAAGCCGGUCUCAGUUCGGAUUGGGGUCUGCAACUCGACCUCAUGAAGUCGGAGUCGCUAGUAAUCGCAGAUCAGCAACGCUGCGGUGAAUACGUUCCCGGGGCU